rnacentral:rRNA from 1 species
GACGAACGCUGGCGGCGUGCUUAACACAUGCAAGUCGAACGAUGAACCGGAGCUUGCUCUGGGGAUUAGUGGCGAACGGGUGAGUAACACGUGGGCAACCUGCCCCAGACACCGGGAUAACCAUUCGAAAGGAUGGCUAAUACCGGCUACGACCACUUCGGGCGUCCGAUGGUGGUGGAAAGGAUUCUGGUCUGGGAUGGGCCCGAGGCCUAUCGGCUGGUUGGUGGGGUAAUGGCCUACCAAGGCGACGACGGGUAGCCGGCCUGAGAGGGCGACCGGCCACACUGGGACUGAGACACGGCCCAGACUCCUACGGGAGGCAGCAGUGGGGAAUAUCGCGCAAUGGGCGAAAGCCUGACGCAGCGACGCCGCGUGAGGGACGAAGGUCUUCGGAUUGUAAACCUCUUUCAGCAGGGAUGAAGCGAAAGUGACAGUACCUGCAGAAGAAGCACCGGCUAACUACGUGCCAGCAGCCGCGGUAACAC